rnacentral:rRNA from 1 species
UACGUAGGGGGCAAGCGUUGUCCGGAUUUAUUGGGCGUAAAGAGCUCGUAGGUGGUUCGGUAAGUCGGAUGUGAAAUCUCCAGGCUCAACCUGGAGGGGUCAUUCGAUACUGCCGUGACUAGAGGUCGGUAGGGGAGUGUGGAAUUCCUGGUGGAGCGGUGAAGUGCGCAGAUAUCAGGAGGAACACCCGUAGCGAAGGCGGCACUCUGGGCCGAUACUGACACUGAGGAGCGAAAGCGUGGGGAGCGAACAGG